GCCAGUGUGGCUUAGUGGUUUGUGUGUUGCACUAUGACUCUGGAGACCAGAGUUCAAAUCCCCACUCAGACA